GACGAACGCUGGCGGCGUGCUUAACACAUGCAAGUCGAACGGAAAGGCCCUGCUUUUGUGGGGUGCUCGAGUGGCGAACGGGUGAGUAACACGUGAGUAACCUGCCCUUGACUUUGGGAUAACUUCAGGAAACUGGGGCUAAUACCGGAUAGGAGCUCCUGCUGCAUGGUGGGGGUUGGAAAUUUUCGGCGGUUGGGGAUGGACUCGCGGUUUAUCAGCUUGUUGGUGGGGUAGUGGCUUACCAAGGCUUUGACGGGUAGCCGGCCUGAGAGGGUGACCGGGCACAUUGGGACUGAGAUACGGCCCAGACUCCUACGGGAGGCAGAAGUGGGGAAUAUUGAACAAUGGGCGGAAGCCUGAUGCAGCAACGCCGCGUGCGGGAUGACGGCCUUCGGGUUGUAAACCGCUUUCGCCUGUGACGAAGCGUGAGUGACGGUAAUGGGUAAAGAAGCACCGGCUAACUACGUG
rnacentral:rRNA from 1 species